rnacentral:lncRNA from 1 species
AAGCAGAUGAAGAGGAAAGAACUGAGCAGCAGUAUUUCAGGAUUCUCAAUAAGGCAUCAAUGAAAAAAGGUCAAAACUGUGAUCCCUGCUACUUGGGAGGCUGAGACACAAGAAUUGCUUGAAUCCAGGAGGCGGAGGUUGCAGUGAACCAAGAUCAUGCCACUGAACUCCAGCCUGGGUGACAGAGCAAGAGUCUGUCUCAAAAAAAAAAAAAAGAAAAGAAAAAGAUAUUGCUUAGAAAAGUAACUUGAGUCCUGUUGAGCCUAAGUAAAGGACAAUAAUGGAAGUUUCUAGUCUGCAAAAUAUGAAGAUGCCCCUCAGAGACACAGCUGUGGGUGCCUCUCACAAGACAGAUGUUCAGGAAAACUGGGCUGUUGCUCUGGAAUUUUCAAUGAGUUAUUUUACUUGUUUUUGCCUCAGUUUACAGAAAAUAAACUGGCAACAAUAUCUCCUUGUUAUUGUGAGGAUAAAAUAAAAGGUGUGACAUUUCUAUUUUAAAUGUAUAAAAUGCCGAAAAAUUGGAGGCAACUGGAAGGUACAGUAGUGGAUGUGAGGUAGUAAGGGGGAAAAAAGGAUAUGUAAAUCACCUAAGAUGAAAUAGACAUUCAGAAGGCCGUAACGUGAAGUGUGAGUGACACUGAUUCGCUAAAAAUCCUAUAUAGUGUCUUAAAACAGCAGCAGUAACAACAACAAAGUUUAUUUGAGAGGAGGAAUUCUGGAAAAAAGCUUCUUUCAAAAAAAAAAAAAGAGUCUUCUAGUGCUCAGACAGUUCGUUCCUCUGCAAAGGCGGGUUACUCUGUUGGGGUCCAUUAUAGUUCUGAGGAUGAAUAGGACAGGACAAGGAGAUGGUUCCUGGCCCCUGUUCUCCUGCCACAGAUCUGUCCCACCUCCCAGGCUCCAUGCAUACAGUGACAGAGAUGGAAAGCCCAGAACCAGUCCCUUUAAUGCACUUAUUUGCAAAACAAGAUGUCACUAUGCAGCAGAGUGACAGUCCUUUCCCCUGGAACUGUCCCAGAGUUCUCCAAGCUGAAGCCAGGGCUACAUUCACCAUCUCAGACUCCUGCUGAGCUAAGUAACCACCCUCUCCUACCUUCUCUUCAGGAGCCCUGGCACCCUUGCUCUGGGGAGAGUUUGAAGAGCAACCUGAAAGUUCCCACAGUUUUUCCUCAAAUCUGGGUUUCCAUGAGCAUGGGCCACCAGUCGGGAGAGCCACAUGCCUGCCCUUGCCUGGCUCAAGACUGUCACUCUGUCAGAUUCAUAUCGCUCUCUGACCCUUAGCCUUCCAGUCUGGAUCUUGACCUUGAACUGGACUCUGUAGGAAGUUCUUAACAUUAAAGGAAGUUAUUUAUCUCUUUUCAACUAACCCAAGCACUUUCUAGCACCUUUUAGCAGUUUAAGCUCUAUGACUCCAUUGGAUAAAAUGCUGGGGAGCAGGACAUUGACACAGUCACAGAAUAUCACACACGGAAUCCUCAUUCAUUCCCCCAGGGAAACAGCACCUGUAGAAGACAAAUCUGGUAGACACUACUGUGACAGGUGAUUUUAUAUGUCAGCUUGACUAGGCCACAGGAUGUGUAGACAUUUGUCAAAUUUUUUUUUAUAUGUCUGUGAGGAUGUUUCUGGAUGAGAUUAACAUUGAAUCAGUAGACUGAGUAAAGAAGACCGCCCUCCCCAGUGGGGGUGUCCCUCAUCCAACCUGUGGAAGCCCUACAUAGAACAAAAAGGCUGAACCUCCCCCAAAAUACGGUGAUCUCAAGCUGCCUGACUUCUGGUGCUGGAACAUUGUUCUUUUUCUGCCUUCCGACUCAAACUGAAAAUCAGCUCAUCUUGUAUCCUGAGUCUGCUGGCUUCCAGACUGAACUAUACAUUGACUCUCCCAGGUUUCCAGCUUGCAACUGCUGGUCUUGGGACUUCUCAGCCUCCAUAAUCAUGCAUUAGCCAAUUUCUAUAUAGAUCUAGAAAUUCAUAUAUAUAUAUGUGUGUGUGUGUGUGUAUGUGUGUGUGUGUGUGUACGCAUAUAUAUACAGUCAUGAAUCACUGAGCAGUGGGCAUACCUUCUGAGAAAUGUGUCAUUAGGCACUGUUAUCAUUGUGUGAACAUCAUAGUGUACUUACACACACCUAGACGGUAUAGCCUACAACACACCUAGGCUAUAUAGUAUAACUUGUUGCUGGUAGAUUACAAACCUGUACAACCUGUUACUGUACUGAAUACUGUAGGCAAUUGUAAAACAAUGGUAAGUAUUUGUGUAUCUAAACAUAGCUAACCAUAGAAAAGGUACAGUAAAAAUACUGUAUAAGAGAUAAAACAUGGUGUGCCUGUAUAGGUUGCUUACCAUAAAUAAAGCUUGCAGGUUGGAAGUUACUCUGGGUGAGUCAGUGAGUAAAUGAUGAGUGAAUGUGAGGCCCUUGGACAUCACUGUACCCUACUGUAGACUUUAUAAACACUGUACACUUAGGUUACCCUAAAUCUAUUUUAAAAUUGUUUUCUUUCUUCAAUAAUAAAUUACCCUUAGCUUACUGU